CGUCAGGACCUGCACAACGGCCGACCUGAGAACGGGUCAGGACCUAGCGGUAGCAGCCAUAUCAGUAAAGUUGUGUGUUGCAGGGAUCCUGACAUUU
rnacentral:SRP_RNA from 2 species